CCACACCUAAAAAACUUUCCACGUGAACCGUUUCAACCCAAUAGUUGGGGGUCUUAUUUGGCGGCGGCUGCUGGCUUAAUUGUUGGCGGCUGCUGCUGAGUGAGCCCUAUCAAAAAAAAGGCGAACGUUUGGGCUUCGGCCUGAUUUAGUAGUCUUUUUUCUUUUAAACCCAUUCCUUAAUACUGAAUAUACUGUGGGGACGAAAGUCUCUGCUUUUAACUAGAUAGCAACUUUCAGCAGUGGAUGUCUAGGCUCGCACAUCGAUGAAGAACGCUGCGAACUGCGAUACGUAAUGCGAAUUGCAGGAUUCAGUGAGUCAUCGAAAUUUUGAACGCAUAUUGCACUUCCGGGUUAGUCCUGGAAGUAUGCCUGUAUCAGUGUCCGUACAUUAAACUUGACUUUCUUCCUUCCGUGUAGUCGGUGGAGGAGAUGUCAGAUGUGAAGUGUCUUGCGAUUGGUCUUCGGACCGGCUGCGAGUCCUUUUAAAUGUACUAAACUGAACUUCUCUUUGCUCGAAAAGUGGUGGCGUUGCUGGUUGUGAAGGCUGCUAUUGUGGCAAAUUGGCGACUGGUUUGUCUGCUGCGGCGUUAAUGGAAGAGUGUUCGAUUCGUGGUAUGGUUGGCUUCGGCUGAACAAUGCACUUAUUGGACGUUUUUCCUGCUGUGGCGUGAUGGACUGGUGAACCAUAGCUCGGUGGCUUGGCUUUUGAAUUGGCUUUGCUGUUGCGAAGUAGGGUGGCAGCUUCGGUUGUCGAGGGUCGAUCCAUUUGGGAACUUAAUGUGUACUUCGGUAUGCAUCUCAA
rnacentral:rRNA from 1 species